ensembl:lncRNA
CCUCCUCUCCUCAGUCUUUGUUCCAGCAUGUCCCAAUCCACACACACCCAACACCUUCAAUCCCCCGACUCAAUUCUUUUUCCGUAACACAUAUAACUUUUAUAACACACUAUACCUUUUAUAAAAAUCGUAUACUGCUCCAGUGGGAGAUCUCACUAGAAUUUAACAUCCACGUGAUUUUUUUUUUUUUUUUUUUUGCCUAAGUGUCUUGGACAGUUCCUGGAACAUAGCAGGACCUCAGAUGUUUGCUAAAUGAACGAACUUCAGAGGUGAGAAGGGGAUACUCAUUUCAGAAUGUUUUUAAAAAGAAACAGAAAUUACGGGUGAUAUUUCCGUUCUUUUCCCCCAGUAGCACUUUAACAAAAUGAAAAGCAUGUUAAUGGGUAUUCCUAAAAUAAACACAAGAAAGAAAUAAAGAAAAUACCACACAUGAGGAUAACUUGAAGGAACUAGUUGCGAAUUUCCAAGAACACUUCGCAGGCGACUGGACCAUACUCUGUAGCGCAGCUUCUGGCAAAGCCCCGGGAAUGGCGCCGGAAGUGGGCGUGGCCCUCCCGCGGCUUUCUGGGACUCGUAGUUCGAGGCCCUAGGCGCUGGCGCAGGUCAGUAUCAAGAAUCCUGCGCUUCUAGGUAUCGGAUUCCACGUGAGAGGAAUCUGUCCUUCCUGAAAGGAGAAAAUGACCAAGUUCCAGGUGAGUUGGAGUUUCUCUUCUCUGAGAUUGGGAAUAUCCUAUCUUUGGGGGGAAGGACAUCAGCAUUAACUGAGUGUGUAUCUGGUGUCAGGUCCUGUCUUGGUUCUGUGUGUUUUUUUUACCUUGUCAGACUUCAGCGUGAGACAUAUGGUGUUUAUAAAUGUGAAUAUAGGAACAUGAAGAUACUAAGAGCAUAUAGCUAUCAAAUGAUGUCACCAGGGUCUGCACAAUCAGCUGACUUUAAAUUCUACCCCUGUUUUCACUGAACUACCCUGCUUCCUUGAGGUUGACUAACUCCUCAGAGGACUGGGCUAUGCUCCUUUAUUGAAAGACUUCACACAGCAUGUUUGGUCCAAUCUCUGGGAGCAUGCCUUUUCCUGCCAGACAUUUCACUCACAUUGAAAGUCAUCCAAAGCUAUUACAUGCUCAAUCCAGUGCUACGUUGUUUCAGGAAAGCAAAUAGAAUUAUAAACUGCAGUGCUUUUCUUCUAUGAGCAUGUGAUGUGUGUGGGAAAAAGUAUGCACAUUAACAAUAAUCAUUUAUUAAACUUGAGUUAAAGACAUGAGAAAAUUUGUUACAUAACAGCUCAGUAAUUACCAUGUCACUCCCAGAAAUCCUCCUCAGCCAGUCUGUGCAUCAGAAUUAUCUGUGGUGUUCUUUAAGAAUUAAAUGUUCCUAAGCAACAUUCCCCUAGACCUACUGAAAGGGGAAUUUCACUCCUUUUUUUUAAUCUCUUUGAUCUUUGUACAAUCCAAAGAUUUAUUGCAUUUAUUGUGAAGUAUUUCUCUGCAUACUUGACGUGAGCAUCACUAAGGUAGAUAGGAUGGGUUGCUCAUCUUUUGUGUUCUGCUUGUUUUGUUCCCUUUAUCAACGUAUCUACAUUUUAAUUGGUACAAUGAAUUGUUGAAUUACCAUGUAAGCUUUUUUAAAAAACUUGUCAUUUGUCUGCACAAAACCACUUCUAGAAAACUACCUCAAGA